GAUGAACGCUGGCGGCGUGCCUAAUACAUGCAAGUCGAGCGAACAGAUGAGGAGCUUGCUCCUCCGACGUUAGCGGCGGACGGGAGAGUAACACGGGGAUAACCUACCUAUAAGACUGGGAUAACUUCGGGAAACCGGAUCUAAUACCGGAUAAUAUAUCGAACCGCAAGGUUCAAUAGUGAAAGACGGUUUUUGUGUCAGUAAUAGACUGAUCCGCGCCGGAUUAGUAAGUUGGCAAGGUAACGGCUUACCAAGGCAACGAUGCUGAGACGCCCCCAGAGGGUGGUUGCCUAGCCUGUCAGUGAGACACGGUCCACACUCCUGCGGUAGGCAGCAGUAGGGAAUCUUCCGCGAUGCGCGAGAGCGUAACAGUGCACCGCCGCCUGAGUGAUGAUGGUCUUCGGGUCGUAGAGCUAUGUUAUUAUGGGAGAACUAAUGUGUAAGUAACUAUGCACGUCUUGACGGUACCUAGUCAGAAAGCCACGGCUAACUCCGUG
rnacentral:rRNA from 1 species